GGGGAAUCUUGGACAAUGGGCGCAAGCCUGAUCCAGCCAUGCCGCGUGAGUGACGAAGGCCUUAGGGUUGUAAAGCUCUUUUGCCGGGGACGAUAAUGACGGUACCCGGAGAAUAAGUCCCGGCUAACUUCGUGCCAGCAGCCGCGGUAAUACGAAGGGGACUAGCGUUGUUCGGAAUUACUGGGCGUAAAGCGCACGUAGGCGGAUUAUUAAGUCAGGGGUGAAAUCCCGGGGCUCAACCUCGGAACUGCCUUUGAUACUGGUAAUCUAGAGUCCGAUAGAGGUGGGUGGAAUUCCUAGUGUAGAGGUGAAAUUCGUAGAUAUUAGGAAGAACACCAGUGGCGAAGGCGGCCCACUGGAUCGGUACUGACGCUGAGGUGCGAAAGCGUGGGGAGCAAAC
rnacentral:rRNA from 1 species